UAAACUAGGAUUAGAUACCCUAUUAUUAUAAAUGUAAAUUUUAAGUACUAAAUUAGUAUUAGUUAUUUUCUUGAAAAUUAAAAAAUUUGGCGGUAUUUUAGUCUUUUCAGAGGAACCUGUCCUGUAAUUGAUAGUCCACGAUUAUAAAUACUUUAGUUUUAAGUUUACAUAUCGUCGUAGAUUGAAUAUUUUAAUAGAAUUUUAAUGUUCAUAAUUUUUUAUUAAAAAAUAAAUCAGAUCAAGGUGUAGCUUAUAUUUAAGAAGAGGUGGGUUACAUUUAAUUUAUUUAUGGAUGAUUUUUUUAAAAGAAGUUUGAAUUUGGAUUUGAUAGUAAUUAAAUAUAUUUAUUUAAAGUGAUUAAGCUCUAAAAUAUGCACACAUCGCCCGUCGCUCUUAA
rnacentral:rRNA from 1 species